CUGCAAGUAUCCAAGUUAGGUUAUAUUUUGAAUUUGCCAUUGUUUAAACUGGAUUAUAGAAACUUCUGAGCGUUAUAAACUACUAGUUAAACCUCAGUAAAACCUCGUCCUCGCAAUUCAUGCAGAAACAUUACAAUACAUAUAGACAGUUCAUAGGUUAGAAUGUUUUAGAGUUCAUAAUCGAGCGAUGAUGCUGCAAUCCGGGAAUA